UCGUGUAUUUUAUCCGCGAGGUCAGCUA
rnacentral:sRNA from 1 species